rnacentral:tRNA from 1 species
GCGGGUAUAAUUUAGUGGUAAAAUGUCAGCUUCCCAAGCUGAAUAUGCGGGUUCGAUUCCCGCUACCCGCU